UAUCUUGUGUUUAAAGCAUAAUAUGUGCUACUUGUAUCCAGCAUAUAAAUGUAGGUUCCUUUUUGUAUUUUCAAUUUCGGUAACCACCCUAGAUAAGUGUUUGUCUUUCUCUACUUGCUUGAAUGACCGGUAAAAGGAAUACCAAUCUUGAUUGUCCCUUUUGGACUUGAAUAUCAAUUGAAUUAGGAAAUGAAGAUAUCAGAAACUUAAUUACUUCCCUUUGCUUUCUGCUCGGUUCCCUAUAUUUCCGUCUAUGUAUUAGUUUCUGAGCAUAAUGGAUGUGUUUUUGUUGAAAUCACUUAAUGUCAUCUAAGUCAGUGAAGAGUUGUGAGAAAAUGUGUAAUGUUACAAGUAAAAUUUCUAUUAUAUUUAAGUGAGGAAGGAGUACGAACACAUGCUACAAAUGGUUCUACAAAAAGCAAAGAAAGUUGUAAUACUCUCCAAAUAAUUUCAUUUUCAUUCAUUUACUGCUUUCUGUGAACACGUGUGACAGAUAGUCUUUGUACACAACUUCUUUACCAAAAUACUUCGCUAAACUAGAAGACAAUUUGAUUUGGCCCAUGCAUCACACGGGCAUGCUUUGCUAGUCUAAGAAUAAAUGGCCUCAUAAGUUUUUUAUCUUAACUUUUCUUUGUGUCUCACCCUCAACGGAGCUUCAUUUGCUAAUUGCCUAUAGCAGCAAACUUGAGCCCUUGGUGAUUGUCUUUCUUUAGCUUGACAUGAUGAUACCGUUGACUUAAUCAACAACACCUGAAAUAAUGGAGUUGACACGCAAAAAAAGAAGUGGCACUUUUGAAGAGUGUAAUUGGCAAGUGGUGCUCGAAUUGUGGAAAGAUGAAUUCCAUUAGCCUUGUUGCAGAAUUUAUUCUAGAAGUUUAGCGAAUUAAUUCAGAUGAUGAGGAGAGAGUUUGACGUAGUUUCAUGUUGAAAUUACUUUAGCUUUUAUUAGUUUGAAUUUGUUUUAUUUGAGAUAGAACAACUAGUCAUUUGAUUUGAUAGCGUAUAACUUGCCAGGAGAGUUCUGCUAUGUCCUUUGAAAUAAAAUCUAAAGAUUAUUAUUUCGUAUUUGUUACAUUGUGUAUAAAGGUUGAUAUUUAUGAUUGUUUAAUAUAAAUAUUUGUGUUA